AUUCCUACUGUUACUGUCCGGCUCCAUAAUUCAUAUAAUGAUGGGCAGUGA
rfam:Vibrio vulnificus YJ016 DNA, chromosome II, complete sequence.